GAUGAAGAACGUAGCGAAAUGCGAUAAGUAAUGUGAAUUGCAGAAUUCAGUGAAUCAUCGAAUCUUUGAACGCACCUUGCGCUCCUUGGCAUUCCGAGGAGCAUGCCUGUUUGAGUGUCAUUAAAUUCUCAAGACCUGUCUGCUUUUUUGAUAGGUAUUGGAUUUUGGGGGUUGCAGGCUGUUUCAAAUAAAUAGCCUUGCUCUCCUUGAAUGUAUUAGUGGAGAAAAGCCAUUGAACUCCAUUGGUGUGAUAAAACCUAUCAGUGCCAGGAGCAAUAUCACUACUUCUCUCUGCUGUCUAACUGUGACUGUCUGUAUUAAUUAGUAUGGAUGGGGACAACUUGACCAACUUGACCUCAAAUCAGGUAGGACUACCCGCUGAACUUAAGCAUAUCAAUAAGCGGAGGA
rnacentral:misc_RNA from 1 species